UGAGGCGACUGUUGUUGUGAUUUGGCGCUGUAUAAAUAAAACUGAACUGAACUGAAAAUAAUGCUAGUGCCUUGCUGAGCAUUCCAGACCUGUUAGAUGAGAAGCUGAGAGAAGACUCAGGUGGAUUAUAAGUGCCAAAUGGAUCAAAACAUCAUGAUUGCCUGGGAUGUAGCUACCCUGCAAAUGGUGACACGGUGAGAUGUCAUACAACUAAAGGUGUCAGAGAGUGACCUCCACCCUCUCAGCACUGUCAGGCCGUCAGAGAGAGAACACAGAAGACCUGCAGACUCAGCUGGACUCUGAAGACCAACUUCCUCCCAUUGGAAAUGCACAAAAAAGGUUUUAAUUUAGAUUUUAGCGUUAUCGUGCACAUCAACAAAUGAGCUGAUUCACAUGUUGAACGGUCUGAGGUCACUGGAUGGAUUAUGUGUAGACGUGUUAGAAGGAAGGUGUCAGAAACCCAGUGAGCAGUGGGUGAAGAGACCUAAUCCUAACCCCUGAGUCAUUACUGAGUGUAUGUGACCACAUGAUGAAGACGGACGUUCCUUAAAUUUGUUCUAGAAGUACAAAUUCAGGUAAGCAGACAUGUGUAGAUGAGAGCUGAAACACAGAAGUUGAACUCUGAAGCUCGUAGGAGUCAUGAGAACUCUGACCUCUGUCACGCUCCAGUCUGUCCACUCUGACCAUCAGCUGCUGCAGGAGGACUCUCAGGUCGUCCUGCCCUCCCGUUAGUUCGGCCUGAAGGAGAACCACAGCACUAAGCUCCAGCAGCAGGAACCAGCCAGAGUCCAUCUCAGCCUCACAGAGAACCAGACCACUGCAGCUUGGUGUUCCUGACCUGUGCACACAGAAGCUUCUGUUUGAACAGCAUGAAGGCUGCUGGACUCUGAUCUUCACAAACACGAUUACCCAUGAUUCAAUGCUGGUUCUUUCAACCACUUAAGUUCUUAUAUGACCUUUGACUCCCAUGCUGGAUCAGGCUGCUUUAACAACAUGAGCAUUUGUCAGUAACUAUGUAUUUUUGAUCGAACUAUCGGUUCCCACAGCUCCCCGUGGGGAUUAUUAGUUUGUUUCUAAGGCCAAGGAUGAUCUUUCUUUGAUUCCUGUGAAGAGCUGCUGGAGGUCACAGGUGUUCCCAAAACAACCUGCUUGGAGUGUUUUAUAAAUUUCCUCACAUUCAAACCGAGUAUCAUCCUGACUGUGUGACAUCACUGAGCGUUCUUCUCCUCAGAUGUUCAGCAUUAAGUACUUGUGAGGAGCAAGUGUCUGUGGACUCAAAGGCUUGUUAACAUAUGCACAUCAAACACGCAGCUCACUGUUGAUGCUGCACUUUUAGUCAGAGUACAGCAUCAAGGCAUUCUGGGAUAUUGAUCUGGACAGUGUUGCAUAUGCUGGGGUCAGUAUCAUGUGACCAUACCUGGACCUUUAAGAGGCUGCACAGGUAGUCCAACUCCUCCAGGAUGGCACAUGAUUACAUGCUAAUGGCAGGUUUGUGUGCCUCCCAGCACAGUCUCAGGAGCAUGAAGGAGACUCCAAGAGAGCUGCGCAGAGCCGUAGAAGGCCUUGACUCAUCAGCAGGACCAGCAUCUGCUCUUCUGUGCACAGAGGAAGAGGAUGAGCGCCAAAAUAGCUACGCUGUUUUGAACGCCUUACCAAACAGACUUCAUGAGGGCGACAUGAGGGCGUAAUGUCCUCGUUCAGUAUGACUGGUUUGGGGAUGCUGAGAAUAUGCAGGCAGCUCUGGAGGAUGACUCGAGUGAUGCCACUGAGUGGGCCUCAUGCUUGCCUGACCAAAAUCCAUUAGAACACCUCUGGGACGUUAUGUUUGGGCAAAGUGGACUCACCUGUAGGUGGAUCCUUCAUUUCCAUCAAACGAUGUGGCAUCUUUCAUUUGUCAGAGCACAGUUGUUGUGUUUUUAAUGUGUAAAGAUGUCCCACUGUAAACAUGCAUUAGGCAAUGUUUCAUAUGUUAAACACUUUUUAUUGCCAGUGUGUGAACAGAAAAAAACAGAAAAAAGAUUUUGUAAUGGAAAAAACAGAUGUUUAGCUGUACUUCUCUGCUUUUUGCCAUUAAGUGGACUGAAGGAAGGAAUGAACGACUUAAUCUCUUCUUUUAAGGCCGUUUUCCUUUGAUUGGCAGCGCCUCUGCUUGCUCAGCAGUGGAGUGGACAUUGGGUAUAGGUGAAAUGAGUUCUACUCUCCAUUAAAUCAUCCUGAUCCAACAGUCGAAAAACCUGUAAUCAACUGUUUGUGCACACACUGAGCUGAGUAUUAGAAACUUGUUUAACAGGAACGCCCACCAUGGAAUAGGCAGUGCGUGACAGGAAGGAAUAAAAGGUUCUCCUUACAUGUACGUUCUCAUUUUGAGCAAUUAUCAAAGAAGUUUCCUCAGCAUGGAAAAUGUUCAUUAAAGAAAUGUGACGGAUAACUGACUCAGUGUUUAAUACUUCUUUCCUAGCAAAAACUUUAAGUUAUUAUUUAUAAAGUCGCCUCAAGGUGCUUCAUACUGUAAGGUCGACCUUGCAGUAAUGCAUUAAAACUGAAGGCCACUGUUUUAUUUUUAACCUGCAGUUUCCUGCUUUCUGCUUUU